UUUCSGUAGGUGAACCUGCGGAAGGAUCAUUA
rnacentral:rRNA from 1 species